GUGAAAGAAAUGGUAGAGUUCGCCGGAUAGGUUCUAUUUCUGGAGAGAGAGAGAGGUAGAUUUUUAUGUUUAUUAUUAAGUUAGUUUCAGCUUCUGAUAGCAGGUUAUUAAGAGUUUACUUGAGGAGAGGAUUACGGAAUUUUAGUCUAUAGUGGAGGAAGUCUUUGAGAUUUUUUUUUUGACGUAACAGAUGUUUAUUUGAGUAUACUUGUAAGGAUAAAGUUUAUAGUGAUAAGUUGUUUUAAGUCGUUGAGUUUAUCAGGGAUUUUUACGUGAGGAGAAUACGUUAUAAUUUAAAUGAUUAAUAGAGAUAAUGCAAGUGGUUUAAUUUAAUUGAAAUUAAUUUUAAGAUUGUAGGUUAAGAGAGUUAAAAUUUAAAAUAAAGUUUUUUUCGUAAAUAGGAAUUAUUUUCAAGAGAAGUUUGUUUUGUUUUCGUGCGCGUAGGAGACGAGACGUACGAAUUAAAUCAGUCGAGGGAAGGAUAAACGUUAGAAAGGAAUUAAAGAGAAAACGAGAGUUUAUGUAAAAGAGAGUUAUAGAAUUUAUAGUGAUGUUUUGUUUUAAUUAGAAAAAUGUUGAGAGUUGUUUCAGAACGACACGUCAGUGGACGUGGCAGAGUGAACACGUGACGGGGAGGUGCUGAGACCUAGCGGAGAACGGAGGAACCGCAAGCGAGGGUUGGCGCACCUGAUGGAAUUCGGUGACGUCACGGGCUCAUACGGAGACGUGGACAGGCCGUGACCUUGUUUUGAUCAGCUGUACGGUAACUUAGCGAUAAGAAAAUAGACUAUUGGUUAAAUAAAUUUAAAUUUAAGUGUGUUUUAGGAGAAGAGGAACUUUCAGUAUAUUCCUUAAGAUGAGCUGAGCAGCAGUCCAGUUUACAAGAUGACAAGAGUUCGAGAGACAAGAUACAAGAUCACUGAAACAAGAGCCAAGACUGAAGAUUCAAGAGAAGAGAAAGCUGGCAGCCAUGGACUUACAAGUGGAGAUUAAUAAGGUCAUGUAAAGUUUUAUUUUUUUAUGGAAGACAGUAACUGGAGUUUUUUUGUUAUAAACAUUAUUUACAGAACUUUUUAGGUUAUAGUAAUGUAAUGGAACUAGUGAGUUGUGGUAGCUGUCAAAAAGAACUAAUACCUUAAGUUUAAUUUUUAAAGUUAAUUUUCUUAAUUUACAGAGGGAUUAGUAGUUUUUUUUUAAACCUUAUUUAGGUUGGAAUUUAAAUACAAUAGCUUAUUAUAAAUGUGUACGAACAGUUCAAGUUCACAGUACUGAUAGGUAGGUCAGAUGAUCUUAUUGAUUUUGAUGAUUUGUUGUUUUGAGUUGAUUUUUAAGUGUUGUGAAUUAGACAAUGAAAUAGUUCUGAAAACUUAAAUUAUUUCAAGCUAAGAAAUAGUAAAGUUAAUUGUAACUCAAAGGACACCAGAAUUUAAUUUUUUUUUGAAUUAGUAAUGUUUGAAAAUUUUAUACUUUACAAGAAAGGUUAUAAACAAACAGAUCGGAUGGAACAAGGAUGCAGUAAAUCACAAUUUCAUUUAGAAUUAUUGAUUAGCUUUUGAGGUUAUGAAGUAAAAGUAAUUAUAGUUUAAAAGUUUGAAUAAAAAAAAAUGUUUUUUUUUUAUUUGUUUGAAAUAGAAAGUUUAAAAGUUAAUUAGUCAUGAUCUAGGUGGGUGAUGGGGUGGGAAUUGGCCACUCUUUUUCCCUAUAACCUCCCUAACAUGGCCUUCUAUUACAACUAACAGAAAUAAAGAAGAAGAAAAAUGAAGAAUUAUUAGUUAGAAUGUUUCUUUCAUGAAGAUACCUGAUGAACUUUUACUGUUUGGAAGAAUAGAAGCAAGGUUAGUCAGAUAUUUUUACUCAGAAGAAGAAGAAGAUAAAGCAGUUUUAUGACUCGACAAGCCAGAGAUUGGUGUUUCCCCUCUGCGCUUCUAUUGACUACGUUGUUUACUCUCAUGGGAUAGCUGGUUCGGCACCAUGGAGAGAGAUUGGUGGGCAUUGUGGUUGCCCCCAGAAGAAAAGAAGAGUAGAAGAGGUUAUGGGUGGGUCAUGUGAACUGACCUUCAACCCAGUUACUUCGUGGGGACUAUUUGCUGUAUAGAGAAGAUCAAGACUCAAGAGUUAGGGAAAAUCAUUGGAGGUCAUGUUUCCCUUCCUUAAGUUUUUCCUAUCAAAUUAUUUGCCUGAUUAGAUUAUGCUAAGGGUGGGAUACUUUAUGUUAGCAGUUGAAUUAAUUAAUUAUAUUUUUUUGUGUGUUUGCAUCCUUGCCCAUCGAUUGCAGUUUAGUAGUUAGUUUUGUAUUUGUCAGGCGUGAUGGUAAUGCCUGUUGAUGAUGUUUCAGAAUUGUAAUCUGUUCGUGAUGAGGAUGGCACAACUCCGAAGCAGAUGUGGGGAGAAGUUGUGAGCUGCCCUGGAAGCCAGUCCAGUAGCUGUUGGAGUUGAGUGGUGUUUGCUGAUGGCCAGCCCAGGGAGCUACUCUUCUCGACAACACUGACUUCGAGGAGUUGCACCAACCUUCACGAGAUAAGAGUUUAAUUAAUUGAAACACUGUAAGGACACUUAAUUUUUUUUUGAAGAACGAAAGAAGUAUGGUAAUAAACGGAAACCGAAAAAAAAAAAUAAUAAUAAUUAUCAAGAAUUUGCACAUUGUUUAACGAAUACUGAGAAACUAAGAACAGUAAUUUAAUUUGUAAAGAGAGCUUCACUAACAGAACAAUUUUUUUAGAAUUGAGAACUCGAGCCUCUGAAGGUUCCUGUGAGAACAAACCAGAUAAAAGUUUUACAUUUAAUUUUAUGAAUACUUGUUGUUUUAAAAUAAAUCUUAUGCAGAAUCUAGAUGUAUGUUCAGACAGCAAGGAACUAAGAAAAUUAUUAUUUUUGUGAAAUGAGGAAUUUAUAGUUAUGGUUUAAUGGAAAAAGACAAUUUGUAAUUUUGAGGUAGCUCGAUGGGGCUCGAGCUCUGUGAGGGGAGGGUUAUGUCGCGGGUUGAAAUUUUGCAGGGUUGUUGAAAUCAAAUUUAGGGACUUUACUGACGGGACUCUGGGCUGGCUGCUCUGUUCACUCGUCAGCGCAAGUGGCGUGACCAUGUAAUUGGGGCACGGGGCCGGCGCGGCGCGCUGCGGGCUUGCAGAAUUUUGUUUGUUUGUUUGGCCGCGCGCUGGCGCAGCCACGGGCCGCAGUUACUGGGGCGCGCUGUCGUAACAAGCCGCGCGGUGUGGCCUGCACAUUGGGGUAGAGGGGGGGUAGUCUUCCCAGAUGUUCUAGUUAGUUGUUUAGUAAAUUUGACUUCAAUAACGAGCUUUUGUUAUGGUAGGCGCGGCAGGGCGCGCGAAUUUAAGCGCAAGUGAGUGGUGACUCGGGGCUCACUCAGGCGGAGGCUAUGCGUCUCACCUGUGGUCACGAGUUGUUAGUUCGUUCGUGAUGUAGGAAUUCAGGCUCACUCAGGCGGAGGCUAUGCGUCUCACCUGUGGUCACGAGUUGUUAGUUCGUUCGUGAUGUAGGAAUUCAAGCUUUCGGGCGGAAGCUAUGGUCGACGCCAGAGGCCACGAGUCGUUUAAUUUAAGUUAGGUCAUAAUGUAGUCGUCAAGCUUUCGGGCGGAGGCUAUGGCCCUCGUCAGGGGUCACGCGUCAUAGUUUUUAAAAUGUAAUGUUCGUUCGGGAUUUCAAGGGCAGGAGAGGCCCCUACGUU